GUUUUUUUCGCCCCCACCUAAGGGUUUAUAUAUAAUCAGUAAUCUUUGUACAAUCUAUAAAGGACGAUCGUUUUUGUUGAUCGUGUUGCACGCUGAGUUUCCAGUUCCA